GCUGGAGCUGGAGGAGCUCUUACCACUGGGAGUGCUGGGAGGGAGCAGAGCACAGCUCAUACCCCACACUGCAUGGGCUGAGCCUCCCCCUCCUGCUACUGCUGCUGGGACUCUUGGAGACACCUUAACCUGCUAUUCCCUGGCAAAGACGCUAACAACAAGCUUGUCUCUGGCAUUGUGAUGCUGGGCAGCUGAGUAUGCCAACUGAGGUGAAAGAACAGACCCUAAUGAACAGCUGAGACUGUUACACAGUGUAGUAACUUGGUCUUCCUCCUGAUCAACCUGACAACCCUUCCUUCAAGACUGAGCACGUCUCUGCGGGUGAUGGGAGGAAUAAAAAGAAGAAUCAGAGCACUAAUAGUUGUAAACCUGACUUGGCACUGUUCAAAACCACAACCAAUCUGCCGCUGUGAAACAUGCCCCCAUAUAUAUACAGAAAGGUGAGAAGCUACUCUGUGAAGACCUCAAUCCCAGCUUCACAAAGUAAAUUUUCAUGUGUCUGGAUUGAAACGGUUCAAACGAUGGCAAUGAAUUUUCAAUUCCUAAACUGGAUUUGUGAAGUGACAAAACAUGAAAUUCUUUGAGCAGCUCUGUCCUGCAUGGCAAGCUAUAGCUGUAUGUUAGUGCUCUCUAAUCAAACCUUAUGCUGCUCCCUCACAAAACAACCUUACAGAAAGAGGAUGUAUGAUUCAUGUUCCACAAAUCCAGAUCGCUACAGCAACAAGUGAUCUGAAGUUGAAAAAGAAUUCCAGACUCUCGUAUUUAUGUCUGUGUCCCAUGUAUGACGUGAGUCAGAAAACCCAGACACAGAUCUGGACCGAUUAGCACUUAAAUUAAUAAAGAACGUAGAAAAAGAGCUGUGCCUAAAACAUAGCAUCACAGAAUGGUUUGGGUCGGAAAGGACCUUCAGCUCAUCCAG